rnacentral:rRNA from 1 species
GGAGGAAAGUAGGGGAUCGCAAGACCUUGCGCUAAAGGAGCGGCUGAUGUCUGAUUAGCUAGUUGGUGGGGUAAGGGCUCACCAAGGCAACGAUCAGUAGUUGGUCUGAGAGGACGGCCAACCACACUGGGACUGAGACACGGCCCAGACUCCUACGGGAGGCAGCAGUGGGGAAUUUUGGACAAUGGGCGAAAGCCUGAUCCAGCCAUGCCGCGUGAGUGAAGAAGGCCUUCGGGUUGUAAAGCUCUUUCAGUUGAGAAGAAAAGGUUAUGACUAAUAAUCAUGAUUCAUGACGGUAUCGACAGAAGAAGCACCGGCUAACUACGUGCCAGCAGCCGCGGUAAUACGUAGGGUGCGAGCGUUAAUCGGAAUUACUGGGCGUAAAGGGUGCGCAGGCGGUUAUGUAAGCCAGAUGUGAAAUCCCCGGGCUUAACCUGGGAAUUGCGUUUGAAACUACAAAGCUAG